rnacentral:lncRNA from 10 species
ACUAGAUGACCCGCCCCCUCGGGCUGUCGGGGGGUCGAGACAGUGGAGUGUUCCUGAUGCCAGCUCACGGAGGGAAUCCAGGGAAUUAGCUGAUGCCAAGAGCCUCUUUUUGGCCAGCACUUACUAAGCACCAGAGACACAGCGAGAAGCAGAAGCAUACGAGCACAUCAGUGUGAUUCUGCUGUGAUGAAGGGCAAGAGAGGGCUCACUUUCCGGCGUGACAUUCAAGCUAGCCCCGAGGCCUGAGCAGGACCCGCCCAGGGGAAGAUCUGGAGGAAAGCCAUCUGAACAUACAACAAGAGCAAAGGCCUGGUGGAGUCAAGACCACCUUGGCUGCCAGGUGGAAUGGUGGAAUAACUCAGGAGUCUGUCAGGUCUCUGAGAUGUCAAACGGUUCAAAACUAGAGACAGAGUGAUGGUUCUAAAGCCAAAGUCCAGGAGUCUCUAUGCAGCUGCAGUGAGACAGGAAGUG